rnacentral:rRNA from 1 species
UACGUAGGGUGCGAGCGUUGUCCGGAAUUAUUGGGCGUAAAGAGCUCGUAGGUGGUUUGUCGCGUUGUUCGUGAAAACUCACAGCUCAACUGUGGGCGUGCGGGCGAUACGGGCAGACUUGAGUACUGCAGGGGAGACUGGAAUUCCUGGUGUAGCGGUGGAAUGCGCAGAUAUCAGGAGGAACACCGGUGGCGAAGGCGGGUCUCUGGGCAGUAACUGACGCUGAGGAGCGAAAGCGUGGGGAGCGAACAGG